rnacentral:RNase_P_RNA from 1 species
GAAGCAGGCCAGACAGUCGCUGGCUGGUGCAGCAAUGCACCGGCGGGAGGAAGGUCCGGACUCCAUAGAGCGGGGUGACGGUUAACGGCCGUCCGCUGAAAGCUGCAAAGUAUAAGGCGAGGAACAGGGCCACAGAGACGAGCGUAUUAAGUUACGGUGAAACGCGGUAACCUCCACCUGGUGCAAUUUCAAAUAGGCACGCGAUGAUGCUGCUCGCGGAGCGUGCGGGUAGAAAGCUUGAGCGCCGGAGUAAUCCGGCGCCUAGAGGAAUGACUGUCAUAGCGCCAGACCGCAAGGCGAGGCGCCGUAACAAAAUCCGGCCUAUCGGCCUGCUUCACUU